UACGAAGGGGGCGAGCGUUGUUCGGAUUUACUGGGCGUAAAGGGCGCGCAGGCGGCUCAUCAAGUCAGGCGUGAAAUCCCCGGGCUUAACCUGGGAACUGCAUUGGUGACUGGCGGGCUAGAGUAUGGCAGAGGGGGGUAGAAUUCCACGUGUAGCAGUGAAAUGCGUAGAGAUGUGGAGGAAUACCGAUGGCGAAGGCAGCCCCCUGGGCCAAUACUGACGCUCAUGCACGAAAGCGUGGGGAGCAAACAGG
rnacentral:rRNA from 1 species